CCUUCGAAGCUUCUUCGGCAAUGCGGAGAGGGAGAGAGAGUUCUGGUGAGCAUACUCUUGGAUUUCGUCGUCUUCUCCAUCUCUGUCUGUUCAAUUUCCGUAUAUGCUUGUCAUGAUUCCAAACAGAACGGACCAUCGAUGCUGAGCAUGACUGCAGGGGAGAAAAGGCUUAAUGGGACCAUUUGUCAACCAGGCGAAACACAACUAUCAAUGGCGAAUUUUCUACAACAUCUCAAUGAGGAGGAAGAAAGAGACCAGAGGCACAACUUGUCUCAACACAGCAAUGCAAUAAAUUGCAAAAGGAGGGAUGACAAGUCCAAGACAUGGGGGACCUUGUGGGAGUUCUUGGCAUUGUGCUAACAUGGGCAAGAUGCUGACGAGGGCUUUCUCUCCAUAUGUUCAUCCAGCAAACAAGGACGGGUGCUUCUUGGGACCCCUUGCACUUGCCUUGUUUCAAUCGGAAUGCAACAAGAACACAAAAAUGAAAGGAUUCAGUCCUAUUUGGUUGGUCUCUACAAGUCUUAGGGUAUCGAAGCAGACAAGUCAUGAGCAGAAUUAGGGGAUGCUGUGUCUUCUUCUGUGCAUGGAUUGCGAACUUUUUGUUCUACUUGUUUAUGAUGAAAGAUUAAAUUCCAUGGCAUGUUUCUACUGUCUUUUUGCGGAACUCCAUGCCUGACAUGAGUUCCUCCUAUAC